UACAAAACUAACUGAUUCAAACAAAAUAUCUAAUGACAUCUAUAACAAAUUAAUGACAGAAAUUCUUGUUAUUAAGUGGAGGUAAGGGCCACCAAACCUUGUUAUUAAGUGGAGGUAAGGGGCCACCAAACAUAGUUCAGACAAAGGAUAAAUAAGGGACCAAUUCCUGACAAAAAUGCAGUGAGGUGAGCUUUUUUUAACUCCGGUGUUGAAGGCCUCACACUGACUUUGGAAUGAAGAUCACCCAUAUCCUUCUUUUCAAAUGAAGUGAAUUUCUCCUGGGUUCUAUUGUGUGUAAUGACAGAUAUUGUUAGUUGGCUGGUUGGUUAGUGGAUACAUCUGGAAUUACUUUGAAAUUAUCAAUUGCAGAACAUAAGCAACAAUGUGUAUUUCCAACUUUUUAAGAGGUAGAAAAAUAAAUACUUUUUUUAAGAAAACAUACAAAGAUGACACAGUAAUAACUGAUUUGAUGCAGGUAAUAGCCAGAAUUUUUUGUCAGUAACUAACAUUUUGAUGAAAGCUUUAUUUAUAGAAUAAAUAAAAAAGAAUUUUAGUCUAUAAAGUUUUUAUUGAUUGAUGGAUUGUUGUUUGUUAUAUAGAUAAGUACACCUUACAGAACUAACAAAUUCUGGACUAUGCCAAAUAAAUAACAAAGUGGUUUCUUGUGAAACUAACAGACAAAAUAACUAUUGAGCUACUAACAAAAGAAUAGGCACUCUGUGGAUGAUAUGUGUCUAUACAAAAGAAAAUGGACAGUUUGUAUGGCACAAAAAGGAAGACACUUCAACAAUAAGGAGAUUUGAACCAAUGAACAAAUUUAAAAUAUGUAUGCAAUUAAGUGACUUCCUUUUGUAGCAUGUAAACCCUGAAUAAGUACAAUACAGAUAAUUGAUUCAUUGUAUUAAGUUUUGUCAAUAAAUGGAGGACACAAAUAAAUAAGUCAUCUACAAAUAACAAAUAUCAUAAUAAAAUACAUCCAAACAUUCACAUUUAGAGAUCUUAGGGAUCUUAGAUUCCCUAAACCAUAAUUCUAAAAUUUCAACUAAUUCCUAUUUACCACUAUUUCUCAAAUCAUUAGAAAAAUUCAUCACACAAAUAUAAUGUUUUAUAUAACAAUGCUAUAGUUGACAAACUUACAGGAUUUGAAUGAGAAAACAUAUUGUUUUAUAUGAAGGAAAUAUUAUGCUUCAGUCUGGUUAGCCACUACAAGUCACCCUUUAUCUAGAUAUAGUUUAUUUAGGCAGUGGAAAAGGAGCAUACAUUUUAAGGUAAACAAAAGAUUUCUUAAAAUUUAUUUUCCAAGUAAAUGUGUUUGUCAAAAGGAUAAUACUGUAAACUGCAAUUUAAACUGUUAACUUAUUAGAUAUAGAAAGAUGUGUAGGAGACAAAUCUCCAUCCAACUCACAAUUUAUAAAAGUAAACCGUUUUAGACUUUUGAUAAUGCUAUGUUUUUUAACAGAACAGACAACAGAACUAAGAAACUGUGUAUGCACUAAAUGUGAAAAUCCAAUUUGAACUACAUUUUUAUAGUAGAAAAGCAUAGUAACAUAAAUUUACUAUUUAAAACCUUGUUUAUUUAUUUUGAGACAAAUACAAGACCAUUUCAGGACAGGAAUUGUGUCAAAAGUGAAAAUACAAUGUACAACAUUACAUGGUAGCUGUGUUGCAAAUGGUAAGAUCUCGCUGCAAUACUAUCUUAUGUAACUAUCCUUCAGACAGUCAGAUCUUAUGUAACUAUCCUUCAGACAGUCAGAUCUUAUGUAACUAUCCUUCA
rnacentral:lncRNA from 1 species